CACCGCAAAAACUAGUCCGACAGGCGCUCACACGACGCCAUAUUGAGUUUAAUGCGGUUGAAAACGAGUGUUUAUGGGAUAGACUUGUCUUUUCAAUCGCAAGCACUUUAUAAAGGUCCUAGAUCACGUAAUUUUCACAACUCACAACUUUAAAAACUGCUUUAUGGAGUUUUGUCUGGUGAAAGGUUUUUUUUUUCUUUUCUUUUUUAUCGGAAAGACGUCGGCUCAUCGGCUGAACAAUCGGGAUGUUUUAAUAACAGGCUGGAUGAGAGCCCCGUUGCCUGGCAACCGGCUGCUGUCAACAUGCAGGCUGUGUUACCGUGGGAACAGGACGACUGGUGGGAAGAGUGGGACACAAAGCUGACUUCCACCAAACAGUGAUCAGCUGACAUCUGGGGUCAACAUCAUGGCUCUUUUAGAGAUCCGACAGGUUAGAAACUUCUUCUGCACUUGAACACAAACACUCAAAGACGCCUAUUCAGAAAGCACACUUUUUUUUAUAACGUCUCUGCUGUGCUAAUGGCUUGUGUGUGUUUUGGAUUAUGCAUGUGUGUGUCUAUGUGCAUGUGCAUGCAGGCCUCUUACCUUCCCUAUUUCAUACCCACAUGCUUCCAUUGUCUGGGUCGUGGUUGGCCGGUGCUCCACUGGAGUGGUUUUAAGUGCUGUUGUGAGCGGAAUGUGAGAGAGCCAAUACGCUGCUUCAAACACUUCUGAGCACCCCAUUUAUGGCCAGUUCUCUCUGCAAAUGCCGGCUCUUCACAUUUUUCAUUUGCAAAUUGGAUAACUUGAGGUUUGAUGAACAAACUGUUCCUGUUUAAAGACUUUUGGGCUUUACUGCUGUUAGGAAUAAACCAACUUCUCAUGACUGCAGGGCUAAAGCAAUUUUCAAUCACAUUAGGGCGCGUUGUUAUUUUCUUCAUUGACUAAUGUGUAUUACUUAGAUGUUUUUCUUUUUACUCCUGAGGGAGUAUAUUAUUUUAAUCUCAACUCAACAAACUCCUGUGAAUGCAUUUACUUGGCACAGGCAUUGAUAUUAAAGCCAAUAAUUUCGACUUUUAGGUCAGCCCCCCAAAAAAUGAAAUUCUGUCAUUAUUUACUCACCCUCAUGUCUUUCCAAACGCAAAUGACCUUUCUUUCUCCUGCGGUACACAAAAGAAAGUGUUUUUCAUGCU